rnacentral:rRNA from 1 species
GAUGAACGCUGGCGGCGUGCUUAACACAUGCAAGUCGAACGGGAAACCUUUUAUUGAAGCUUCGGCAGAUUUAGAUUGUUUCUAGUGGCGGACGGGUGAGUAACGCGUGGGUAACCUGCCUUGUACAGGGGGAUAACAGUCAGAAAUGACUGCUAAUACCGCAUAAGCGCACAGAGCUGCAUGGCUCGGUGUGAAAAACUCCGGUGGUAUAAGAUGGACCCGCGUUGGAUUAGCUAGUUGGUGAGGUAACGGCCCACCAAGGCGACGAUCCAUAGCCGGCCUGAGAGGGUGAACGGCCACAUUGGGACUGAGACACGGCCCAGACUCCUACGGGAGGCAGCAGUGGGGAAUAUUGCACAAUGGGGGAAACCCUGAUGCAGCGACGCCGCGUGAAGGAAGAAGUAUCUCGGUAUGUAAACUUCUAUCAGCAGGGAAGAAAAUGACGGUAC